ensembl:lncRNA
GGGAAAGUCUCAGCCAGAUUCCAGGGAAACCCCUCUGAAGGUGUUUAUAAGGCUCUGUGAAUGGGCUGCGAUCAGAAUCAGGUGAACUGGAGGCGAUUCUCGUGUCUAGAACCAAACUUCUGCGCAGAUCUGGAUUCACGGACGCCGCUGCGGAUCCAGACGAGGUUCUGCUCGAUCUCGUCUUCCAUGCACAUUCAUCUCAGGAUCUGACAGGAGCAGUUCUGCAUCCAUAUGGCACACAAGGACUUGUGUGUGUGAGAAAGAGAGAGAGAGAGAACAGAUUGUUGUGGGACCUUCAGUCCUGCCCUGUGAACCUGAUGCCACAAUCACCAGCAGGAGAGCAAAAGCAACACACUCUCACACAGCUGUUAAACACACACACACACACACACACACACACACACACACACCAAAAUUAACUUCUGACACAUCUGCAAAUGGCUGGAAUUACAGUUAUUCAUUUAGAGACAUUUAGUGACUUACCGAUGAGGACAAAAUGAUGUCACUCGCAACUGGUGAUAUACUGUAAUUGAAUGAACAUUUAUGUGUAAAAUAUACAAAAUACAGCUUUAUGGCUAGAAACUAUUUGAUAGGACACACAACACUGUUUUUCAGUAAGAUAUGUUUUUGAAAGAAGUCUCUUUUCUGCUUAUUAAGGAAAUAGAAAUAUCUGGGGUCAAUAUUUUUUUAUUUUUUU